rnacentral:rRNA from 1 species
CCUACGGGUGGCAGCAGUGGGGAAUAUUGGUCAAUGGGCGCAAGCCUGACCCAGCAACGCCGCGUGAAGGAAGAAGGCUCUCGGGUUGUUAACUUCUUUUGACAGGGAAGAGCAGAAGACGGUACCUGUCGAAUAAGCCACGGCUAACUACGUGCCAGCAGCCGCCGUCAUACGUAGGUCGCCAGCGUUGUCCGGAUUUACUGGGUGUAAAGGGCGUGUAGCCGGGCUGACAAGUCAGAUGGGAAAUCCUGGGGCUCAACCCCCGAACUGCAUUUGAAACUGUUGGUCUUGAGUAUCGGAGAGGCAGGCGGAAUUCGUGGUGUAGCGGUGAAAUGCGUAGAUAUUAGGAAGAACACCAGUGGCGAAGGCAGCCUGCUGGACGACCACUGACGGUGAGGCGCGAAAGCGUGGGGAGCAAACAGGAUUAGAUACCCGAGUAGUC